UGUUUGGGGAUAUUUUGGAUGGCACAUCCACACCUGUGAGUGCAGACCAACAAAACAAAGAGGGCCAGAAAUCUGCUCCCAAAUCAACCCACAAGGCCAAGGAACGAGAAAAUGACAAAGAGAAAAUAAAAAUAACAUCUAAGUCAAGCUCCAAUAUCAGGUCAGUACAGUAUAUGCAUGUGUCUGUGCAUAUAUUUUAAUGUCAGUAUCGAGUCCCACCUUAUGUGACCCUGGUAAUAUAUACAUUAUCUGAGUCCCACCAUAUGUGACCCUGGAGAUAUACAUUAUCUGAAAGCUGAAUAAAUAAGCUUUCCAUUGAUGAUUUGGACAAUAUUUGGCCGAGAUACAACUAUUUGAAAAUCUUGAAUCUGGGGGUGCAAAAAAAAUCUAAAUAUUGAGAAAAUCACAUUUAAAGUUGUCCAAAUUAUGUUCUUAGCAGUGCAUUUUACAAAUAAAAAGUUAAGCUUUAAUAUAUUUACAGUAGGAAAUUUACAAAAUAUCUUCAUGGAACAUGAUCUUUACUUAAUAUCCUAAUAAUUUUUGGCAUAAAAGAAAAAUUAAUAAUUUUGACCCAUACAAUGUAUUUUUGGCUAUUGCUAUAAAUACCUUAGUGACUUAAGACUAGUUUUGUGGUCCAGGGUCAAAUAUGUUUAACUUUUGCCCCCAAAUUCAUUUGCAGAAAGAGCUUCUCUCAUGAAUAAUNUUUAUGUGUCCUUGAGAAAAAAAAAAAUUUUUUUUUUUUUUUUUUUUUUUAAAUACAGACCCCAAAGUUUUGAACGGUAGUGUAUACAUUCUUCUUUUUCUUAUUGUUUCACUCUAUUUUUGUUUGAAGCCUCAUCUGAAGGAUGAAGUGUUAAAGGAGGAGCAGAGGAGGGAACGCUCUGAGAACUUCCAAAGUUUUCAAAGCCUGAUCUGGGACAAUAUUCUGGAACAGCGUAAACAGGAAAAAAGUGCACGUAAGGAAAUGAUGAAACGACAGUUGGGGACAUACAUUGGCUUUCAGGACACAAUGGAUGCAUAUCGGCAAAAGAUGCUGCAGGCUCGUGAGGCAUUCUGUUCCCACAUCCUAAAGGAGCAGUCACAUAAAAAUAUGGAAGAUCCUCCUUUGGAAACAGUCGAACAGGUUGAGCAUGAGAAAAUCCCUACUGUGGUCCAAUCAAGUGGAUGUAAGAGUGGGGGCAAGAGGACGUGAUCUGAACACCCAAAACUUUAUAGCAAUAAAAUAGUCAGUCACUCAGUCUAAUAUUGCUCU
ensembl:lncRNA